AACGAACGCUGGCGGCAUGCCUAACACAUGCAAGUCGAACGAGCCCUUCGGGGCUAGUGGCGCACGGGUGCGUAACGCGUGGGAAUCUGCCCUCUGGUUCGGAAUAACAGUUGGAAACGACUGCUAAUACCGGAUAAUGACUUCGGUCCAAGGAUUUAUCGCCAGAGGAUGAGCCCGCGUCGGAUUAGCUUGUUGGUGAGGUAAAAGCUCACCAAGGCGACGAUCCGUAGCUGGUCUGAGAGGAUGAUCAGCCACACUGGGACUGAGACACGGCCCAGACUCCUACGGGAGGCAGCAGUGGGGAAUAUUGGACAAUGGGCGAAAGCCUGAUCCAGCAAUGCCGCGUGAGUGAUGAAGGCCUUAGGGUUGUAAAGCUCUUUUACCCGGGAUGAUAAUGACAGUACCGGGAGAAUAAGCCCCGGCUAACUCCGUGCCAGCCGCCGCGGUAAAAC
rnacentral:rRNA from 1 species